rnacentral:rRNA from 1 species
GCCUGAUGGAGCAAUACCGCGUGGAGGAUGAAGGUUCGUGGAUCGUAAACUCCUUUUCUCAGAGAAGAAGAUCUGACGGUAUCUGAGGAAUAAGCUCCGGCUAACUCCGUGCCAACAGCCGCGGUAAUACGGGGGGAGCAAGCGUUAUCCGGAAUGAUUGGGCGUAAAGCGUCUGUAGGUGGUUUUUUAAGUCUACUGUCAAAUACGUUGGCUCAACCAACGGCAGGCAGUGGACUACUAAAGAACUAUUAGUGCNGUAGAGGUANAGGGAAUCCCUAGCGUAACAGUGAAAUGUGUANAUUUUAGGGAGAACACCAGCGGCAAAGGCGCUCUACUGGGCCGAUACUGACACUGAGAGACGAAAGCUAGAGUAGCGAAUAGGAUUAGAUACCCUACUAGUUCUAGCUGUAAACGAUGGAAACUAAGAGGAGGUAACCCUCUUCUGUAGCUAACGCGUUAAGUUUCCCGNCUGGGGAGUAUGCUCGCAAGANUGAA